GGCGCUAUAGCCAAGUGGUUACGGCGACAGAUUAGAAUAAGGCGAUCUUGGAGCACAUUAUGAUCUGUUCCUCUUUGAGGGCGCAGGUUCAAAUCCUGCUGGCGUCG
rfam:Lentinula edodes NBRC 111202 DNA, contig: scaffold323.